rnacentral:ncRNA from 1 species
UGAUAGAGGUGCGAACGUCAAGAGUACGGCCCACAUUAAACACAGGCACGCGGGGCAGGAAAGGGGCGUUUGCCGAGGUUCGGCCGUUCCGCCUGAGGGAACUGCCGUGCCGGGCCGUGGGAAAAUAUCCCCCGGACUGUCGCCCUUGCUGAGAUGCAGGGGCGGAGCGCUGUCGU